rnacentral:lncRNA from 1 species
UGCUUGUUUUCCAAUCAUCAGCCGUUCGCCCGAUAUUCUUCCGUUCAAGUCCACGACCAACGUCUUUUCUGUCAGAAUCUACAACAAACUUUUAGUACGUAUGAUGUUUGAUUUACAUGGGGUAUGAAUGUUGUUGAGCGUUUGUGUAUUUGCGUUUAGCGAAAUUGAAUUCAAAUUUGAUGUUUGCCAAUAAUGUUAUACCCUAUUCCUUCUUUUUUGAUUUCAUUUCUUCAUUCUUUCUUGUAUUUUCCCAUUUUAAAAACUAGGGGUGGACUUUUUUACUUGAACCAUCAGGACUGACCUAGAAUUGGACAAAAUGGUAUGUUUCUGGAGAAAAAAAAAUAAAAAUCAAAGUUUCUGCUUCUAGAAUUAUGUUUACCUUUCAAAAUUCUUCCAAGUACUCAUUUUGCUCGAGAAAUAAGUAAUAUUUCAUGUUUGAGCUCUUAAUUAUCACUUCUAAGCAGCAAAAUGGUUUCAAAAGAGGGGAAAAACUAUCACACAGAACUCAACAAGCACAAUGACACGAUCCGUCCCGAAUCACCCUAGUGGACCCAAAACGUGACGUGCGUCGAUGAUAGAUGUUGACUAGAUGUCAAAUCUAUCACCAAUACUGGCUAUGAGUUAUUUAAAAUAAAAUGCAACAAAAUUAAAUGCUUAUAUAAAAUAUAAUGCGAUGAGCCCAAAAUAUUUACUUUGUGCUUCAUCAAUAUGAGUUAUAUAAUAUUCAACAUGUCGUAUGGCUCUCAUUCCGAAAUCAUUAGACUCUUCCAGCUAAAAAUAAUCAAUUGCUACCUGUAGAAAAAAUCGUGGAAAAAUAUAUGAGUUGAUAGCUCAAUGAGUGGAGAAGUUCGAAAAUAAUUAUACUUUUUCAAUUUUACAUUCUAUCGAAAAUCGAGUUCAUAUCAUUUAAUAAUUCACAAGAUAACAUCAUGUAAUUACAACCAAAAACGAAGUAUUCACAUAAGGUAGUAAAAGAUCAUCUCAAAAUCAUGAUAUAACGUCAGCUGAUAAUCAUGUUAUAAUCUCAUCACAUCAAACGUACUGAAAAGUCCACCUAAAAUGUACCCUCUAACUGAAAUAUAUAAUCUGCCUUUCGAGCUAAGAACUUUCUCCACGGGCCUUUGGGCCCCCUCCGUGAACGAAAGCCGAUCUCAAAGACCUUUCAUAAUCAAUUCUAGAACACGGUCAAAGCCCCUCUGUGAACUAUAUGUACACGAUCGAGACUAACGUCAAGUCAAGACCCUCCGUGUAUGAUAGAACACAGCCAAGGCCCCUCUGUGCACUAGAAGAAAUACAUAAUCAUGGGUACUUUUCUGGUCGAUCUCAAUAUCACGUCCCACAUACCAAACAAAUCUCAAUAUCACAUUUCUCAUAUACCAAGUCACAAACGUACAAUAAAUAAUCCUUGAAAUUUCACAUAUAUCAUAAUAAAAGAUAUUUUCAUAAUAACCAUGUGAUUCGAAUACAUAAUUGCAUAUAAUUGCACAUACUUUAACAAUAUACUUAAUUUAUAAAUACUUUAAAAAUAUUUAUAUUUUUCCACUUACAGUACUAUGUUCGAAAAAUUAACCCGGUUGGUAAGCUGUUCUAAUGUCAGUAUCGUCGCCUGAAAUACGAUAUAAUUUUUAAAUAAAUAAUUAUUUAUUUAAAUAAUUUCAAUAAUUAAAUAGGCGAUACCCAAAUUUAAUCAUUUCACGUUUGGGCCAUUUCUACAGUCUUUUUAAUAACUAAAACUAGUUUUUCUUUCAUCUUACUCAAUUCAUAGUUUAUUACACUUAACCCCUUUAAUAAAAUUGAAUUUAAUCUAACUAUAAAAUCAAACACAACUUGACAAUAAGUAACUUUUUACUUACAUUUCAAAAUUGAGAAAUUCAAGCCUAAUAAAGUAGACCACUUAUUUUCUAACAACUUGACAAAAAAUUUCUAUUUUUUCUUCUUUCUUCUUCCUCUCUUUUUUUUUUUCUUCUUUUCUUUCUCUUUUUCUUCCUCUCGGAUUCUUCCCUGCAGUCUCCAAUUCUUCUAUACAUAUGGAUCCAAUUCUUCUAUACAUAUGGAUGCAAAUGAAGAGUCAAGGCAAAGGGAUUAAAAUGUGGACAAUUGGACUCCACUAACUUAUUUUUGCAAAGGAAGUCCUUAUUCUUCAAUUUAAUAUAAUAUCUAGUCCUUGACUUCCAAUAAUAUAUAAUUAGAUCCCUAAAAUUAAGUUUUAUCCAUUUUAAACCUUUAACUAUUUUUCAUAAUAAAUUAAACCCCCAAUAAAAUAAUUUAUUUCAUUUAAAUACGUAUUUGACGUUGACUUUGACCAAUUGAAUUUUAGACUUUGACUAAAUAAUUUUCUUGACUUUGACUAUGAGUGAGUGGGUUAUAACAAUCUUACCUCCUUCAAAGAAUUUCGUCCUCGAAAUCCACUAUGAUUCGAACACAAAGAUAUAGAGCAUAUAUUUGAAUACUUGUCCCAUGAUGCCUCUUUUUUUUUCUUUUUUCUUUGUUUAUCCAACAAACUUUAACUAGCGGAAUAGACUUUCUGCACAAAAUCUAUUCAUUUCCUAUCCAAGAUUCGAAUUGAUUUUUCUUCAUAUGUAAGAUUUUCAACCAGUUCCACCGAUUACCUUAUAGCAUUAGUUAAAUUUGACGUCCAUUUACUAACCCUCGAACAUAUGGAAUAUAUGUUGAACCGAUACCUUAAAUGUCAUCCUAAUAUAAAUAUGCGAUAUUUUUAACUUUUCAUUUUAUCACCUAACGAUAAUAUAUAUACAGCUUCAAAUUCAGCUCCUUUUUGAAUAUAAAUAUACCUUAACCUCACGUGUUCGUAAGUAUUGAUCUUCCCACCAUGUGAUAACGCUACAAUUCCUAAAAUGUCAAUCCCAAUAUAACCAACCAUAAAUCAUGAUUUAAUCAUAUCUCUUUAUCAAUCUACAACAUAAUCCAUAUUUUAUCAUUCCACUUAGAGAACAUUUUCUAAACCAUAACAUAAUCCAUUACCAUAAAUCAUUAUCGUGAAUUAAUCACUCAUCAUCUUUAAAUAUGAGAGCAAAUAUUUCCUCAAAAUUUCUUAAUAGCAAAACUUUUGGCGUUUCUAUACCCAUAUAAAUUUUGUUCUUUCUUUCUAUGAAGAGAAAAUAAUAAUAUUAAAUCAUGAAAAUCUAUACUCUUAUUCCAUAAAUGGGUCGUUGAUCUAUCCUCACUACAUAAUUUUUCUUGUAUAUCGCAUAAAGACCUUUAACUAAGAUUAUAACCCAAAGAUACUGUCCCACAAUUGAAUAAAAUUUACAUUCAAUGAUCACCCUAAACUUCAAACUAUUCGACAUAUCAUCCAUUUAUUCCAUAGCAAAUAGAUCUCAAUAAAAAUGGAAUACUCUAUACGUGAAAUCCAAAAAUACAAUUGAAAAUCACCCAAAAAUUGCAUCACUAAAAAUUCAUUAAAUUCAUCUUAACUUCAAAAUUUAACUCAACGCUUCCAAAUUGUAUGGAAUAUGACACUAAUCCAACAAAUGGCCUUAACAGAAUUAAUUAACUUAAUAACCCAAAUCUAUCAUCACAUUAUUUGCUAUACGGAAACCAUUAUAUUCAUUUGCAUGUUAUUCACCAUAUCAUGUUAUGAUCAUGUAACCUUGGCAUUUAAUUAUCGUCAUAUCGUAUGACCUAAAACAUUUAAUUAUAUCAAUUUUUCCUUAAUAUCACAAGAUGAUAACCUUCAUAUUUAUCAUGUGAACAUUUCACACAUCAAUAUACCGUAUGUUAAUUUCCCAAUCUCAACAAAUUUCGAUUUUACCAUUCUCUAAUUUUUUUUUUCCACAUAAAUAUACCUAAAUGCACAUAUCCAUUCAAUUCUAUUUUUUAAGCAACAAAUAAUCCCAUAAUUAGUAAUCAUAAUAAAGUUCAUCCAUAUUUUUCUCACAUUCCUUAUAAUCAAACCACUCAUAAAUAAUCAAAAUAAUUGGAAUUACAGUUAAUUUUCUUGAUGCCUAAAAUACACAAUAACACAUUGUCAUCUAUCAAUCAACAAAUCAUCAUUUGUCUUUCACAAUUUCUUAUCAUAUAGUAUAAAUAUACACCAUUAUAGUUUCUAUUAUUAUCCCAUAUAAGAAGACAAAAAUCACUACAACAUUUUGAUAACGCGACUAAUCAUUUAGUUUCCCAAAAUGAUUAAAAUUCCUCACCUGAUUAUCACCAUUUACACAUAUAAUAUCGUUUUCACCGUUACUAUAGUACAAGCUAGAACUAGGGAUUUCCCAAGUGUAUAUUAAAAAUCACGAAAUUCUACAUAAAGAUUGGUACUUAAAUGGUUGUACCCUAUCACUUUGAAUGCCUAUACAUAAACAACUUGUAAAAUCAUUAAAAUCUGUUCAACUCUUAAUAGGUUAAAUACACACAAUUUCAAUCCAACAACUAAUAAGAUUUCCAACCAUAAUAUCAUUGCAACUACCAUACUAGUCUUUCUUGGAUCUGUUAAAAAAUAUCUUUCUAUCAUUUUUUUGUUCUAUGCAUUUGAGUUAGAGAGCCUGUGAUUUCUGCCACCACGAUAUGUGAUCAUAUCCACUGAACAUGCAUGAACCAUAAAAAUUUUCAAAACCAUGCUCUGAUACCACUUUGAUACGACAUGUCCCGAAUCACCCUAGUGGACUUGAAACGUGACGUGCGCCGAUAAUAGAUGCUGACUAGAUGUCAAAUCUAUCACCAAGGCUGACUGUGAGUUAUUUAAAAUAAAAUGCAACAAAAUCAAAUGCUUAUAUAAAAUAUAAUGCGAUGAGCCCAAAAUAUUUACUUCGUGCUUCAUCAAUAUGAGUUAUAUAAUAUUCAACAUGUCGUGUGGCUCUCAUUCUGAAAUCAUUAGACUCUUCCAACUAAAAAUAAUCAAUUGCUACCUGUAGGAAAAAUUGUGGGAAAAUAUAUAAGUUGAUAGCUCAGUGAGUGGAGAAGUUCGAAAAUAAUUAUACUUUUUCAACUUUACAUUUCUAUCGAAAAUCGAGUUCAUAUCAUUUAAUAAUUCACAAGAUAACAUUAUGUAAUUAGAAUCAAAAAUGAAAUAUUCACAUAAGGUCGUAAAAUAUCAUCUCAAAAUCAUGAUAUAACGUCAGCUGAUAAUCAUGCUAUAAUCUCAUCACAUCAAACGUGCUGAAAAAUCCAUCUAAAAUGUACCCUCUAACUGAAAUACAUUAUUCGCCUCUCGAGCUAAGAACUUUUGCCACGGACCUUUGGGCCCCCUCCGUGAACGAAAGUCGAUCUCAAAGACCUCUCAUAAUCAAUUCUAGAACACGGUCAAUGCUCCUCUGUGAACUAUAUGUAUAAGAUCGAGACCAAUGUCAGGUCAAGCCCUUCGUAUAUGAUAGAACACGGCCAAGGUCACUCUAUGAACUAGAAGAAGUACAUAAUUACGGGUACUUUUCUGGUCGAUCUUAAUAUCACGUCCCACAUACCAAACAAAUCUCAAUAUCACAUGUCUCAUAUACCAAGUCAUAAACGUACAAUAAAUAAUCCUUGAAAUUCCACAUGUAUCAUAAUAAAAGAUAUUUUCAUAAUAACCAUGUGAUUCGAACACAUAAUUGCAUAUAAUUGCACAUACUUUAACAAUAUACUUAAUUUAUAAAUACUUUAAAAAUAUUUAUAUUUUUUCACUCACAGUAUUAUGUUCGAAAAAUCAACCCGGUUGGUAAGCUGUUCUGAUGUCAGUGUCGUCGCCUGAAAUACGAUAUAAUUUUUAAAUAAAUAAAUAAAUAAUUUCAAUAAUUUCAAUAAUUAAAUAGGCGAUACCCAAACUUAAUAAUUUUACGUUUGGGCGAUUUCUAUAGUCUCUUUAAUAACUAAAACUAAUUUUUCUUUCAUCUUACUCAAUUUCAUAGUUUAUUACACUUAACCCCUUCAAUAAAAUUGAAUUUAAUCUAACAAUCUAACAACUAUAAAAUUAAACACAACUUGACAAUAAGUAACUUUAUACUUACAUUUCAAAAUUGAAGAAUUCAAGCCUAAUAGAGUAGAUCACUUAUUUUCUAACAACUUGACAAAAGUUUUCUAUUUUUUCUUCUUUCUUCUUCCUCUCUCUUUUUUUUUUCUUCCUUUCUCUCGGAUUCUUCCGUGCCGUCUCCAAUUCUUCUAUACAUAUGGAUGCAAAUGAAGAGUCAAGGCAAAGGGAUUAGAAUGUGGACAUUUGGACUCCACUAACUUAUUUUUGCAAAGGAAGUCCUUAUUCUUCAAUUUAAUAUAAUAUCUAGUCCUUGACUUCCAAUAAUAUAUAAUUAGAUCCCUAAAAUUAAGUUUUAUCCAUUUUAAGCCUUUAACUAUUUUUCAUAAUAAAUUAAACCCCCAAUAAAAUAAUUUAUUUCAUUUAAAUCCGUAUUUGACAUUGACUUUGACCAAUUGAAUUUUAGACUUUGACUAAAUAAUUUUCUUGACUUUGACUAUGAGUGAGUGGGUUAUAACACACAAGUAGGCUAUAUAAACAAAUUGCUCAAAGCCCAUCUUAUUAUUUAUCUAAAUUUGAUACACUGUACAUAUGAAGGUCUUCAAAAUUGUAUUUAUUUUUUUUAUUUUUUUUUGGUUUUGUUCAUUUGUUCAUUGAAUUGAGGAUAUGAUGUAUAUUUUAAUAUGAAAUUUGUGAGAUUGAACUGAGGCUUUGUUCAUUGAACUAAGACUAUGAUGUAAAUUUGUAAUAUAAAAUUUGUGAGAUUGAAUCGAGGCUAUGAUGCUCAUUGUUAUGUAAUUGUUUUUUUGUUUUGUUCAUUCUCUCUUCGAGGUUAAGGGGCAGCUUGUAAUAGGCGGGAGAAAUCAUGGAGUAUGUCAUAGUUGUAAGUGUAGCAGUCACCUCUUCGUUGAUUUCCCAAAUAAACGAUCAUGCCCAUCAUGCAAACAUUCAUUUGUAAAAUGUUUUGAGGUGGAGAAGGAUACGGAGCACAAACGUAAAUGGUUCAAUUGUUGCAGCGCGAACUCUGGCUAUUGGAAGUGGUUUAAAGUAGGAGAAACAAGUGGUGAAUCAAAGAAUGUUUGCAGUACAUCUACUAAGCCUUUGGCGAACAAAUUAGAUGAAGAUAUAUUUGGUGUGUUCCAAACCAUGUGUCACCUAAGCCACGAGAAAGAUGUGGAUAUUUCCGUGAACUACGUAAAGGAAAUGCUGUUGCGGAGGGGAAUAAGAAGUGAAAAGUGUGGGCCUACUUUUGUUGUUGUUGAUGUGUUUGCCUAACAUUUCGCAUAUUUGGAGUCUGUAAUUGCAUGCCUAUCAUUUUGUUAUUUAGUUUAUGUGGUCAAUGGAAUUGGGUGUCUAUCAUUUGGUUAUUUAGCUUUUAUGGUGAAUGUAAUGUCAUGCCUAUCACUUGGUUACUUAGCCUAUCGUUUUGUUGAUGAAACUGUGUUGAGAAAAACUAAGUACUCACAUGUGAUGUUAAGAAAC